rnacentral:rRNA from 1 species
UACGUAGGGACCAAGCGUUGUUCGGAUUUACUGGGCGUAAAGGGCGCGUAGGCGGUUCGCUAAGUUGAAUGUGAAAACUCUGGGCUUAACCCAGAGCCUGCAUCCAAAACUGGCGAACUGGAGUACUGGAGGGGAAAGCGGAAUUCCUGGUGUAGCGGUGAAAUGCGUAGAUAUCAGGAGGAACACCGGUGGCGAAGGCGGCUUUCUGGACAGUAACUGACGCUGAGGCGCGAAAGCCGGGGGAGCAAACAGG